rnacentral:lncRNA from 1 species
GAUGUCAUGGAAACAGAAGAGGAAGAGGGUCACAGCCACUUUUUUCUGGCCCAAGAUGUCUUUGAACUAGAAGAGAAAUAUCUGGGGACUUUCCCCAGGGAACCCUAGAGCCUUAUUUUCUGCAGCCAUUACUGUGGCUCACGUUCUUUGGUUACAGCUCCAGAGUGGUGAGGCCUGAAAGACUCAGAUUCCUUAAUCUGAUUAUUACGUGUGCCAACAGGCUCCCCAGAGAGACAAAGCAGUGUUGGUCCUGUUUCCCAGGGUGACAUACGUUCAUGUUCUUCAGAUGAAAUCCAUUGUCGCAGGCAUGUUCUGGGUUGUGGGGCUUUUUGAUGCAGAAGCAGAGGCUAACGGACAAGGCGGAUUCUUUACCACUGUGUCGCCUCGGAAGCCCAUGUGAGGAGCAACACAACUUGGAAAAGGUGGUCAGGGAAGAACUCUGAUAAAGAGACAUUUGAACAGAGCAUUUUGCAAACCGUGGGGCUGGAAAUCCAGGCCUGACUCCGCUGGCCACUCGGAUCUCUUGUCUGGACUCGGAUGAACGUGUUCAAGAUCCGCAGACCUGCCUGGGGGAGCCUGAGCUGGAUCCCAACAUUUGUGCGACCUCGUGCUUGACUGGCUCCCAGUAACCCACCUGUUAAAUGGGACCUAAAGGGCUGUUUGGUGAUUAAAUGAUAUACUGUGUACGCGUGUGUGGACUUUACACCUGUGGGCAGUGUGCUAAUUUAAAAGCACCUUCUCAGUGUGAGUCUUGCAGAAACUGUGUGGCUUCCAGUACAGCGUAAGCUGGACCCCCUUCAGGAGGAGGUAGCUUUUGAGUUGAGAAGGCAGCUAACCCGGGGACGGAGGGGGUUGGAGCCGUGCAGCUGGGGCAGGUGACUGCAGAAGCAGAGUGACUGGAAGGGCUGAGGGUGGUAGCGAAUGCCAUCUUGCCCUUUCUCUCCCAAGCCCCAGCUCUCUUUCUCUCCUCAAGGAAGCACAAUGACAGCAGGGUCACCUUGAAUGCAGUAUUAGUGCAUGUAUAAAAAUCAUUAGCAAAUGUGAUCCUUCGUUAUUAGUAACAGAUAAUUUGAGUUAUACCACAUACUGCUCGGACAGUGAUGCUCCUUGAGGACAGGGGCCAGGUUUUAUUUACUAAUUGUAUUAUCACUUUUAAUUUCUGGCAUGUUGGUGCAUUGUAAGUUAUCAGGAAAUGUUUAAUAAAUGACUAACCAGUUUGGACACUCCCUUCUUCUCCACU